rnacentral:rRNA from 1 species
UACGUAGGUGGCAAGCGUUGUCCGGAUUUACUGGGCGUAAAGGGCGUGCAGGCGGUUUGUUAAGUCUAGGGUGAAAGCUCCUGGCUCAACUGGGAGAGGUCCUUGGAUACUGGCGAACUUGAGGGAUGCAGAGGAAAGUGGAAUUCCCGGUGUAGUGGUGAUAUGCGUAGAUAUCGGGAGGAACACCAGUGGCGAAGGCGGCUUUCUGGGCAUUUCCUGACGCUGAGGCGCGAAAGCGUGGGGAGCAAACAGG